GACGAACGCUGGCGGCGUGCUUAACACAUGCAAGUCGAACGGUAAGGCCCUUCGGGGUACACGAGUGGCGAACGGGUGAGUAACACGUGGGUGAUCUGCCCUGCACUUCGGGAUAAGCCUGGGAAACUGGGUCUAAUACCGGAUAGGACUCCUGGCUUCAUGGUUGGGGGUGGAAAGCUUUUGCGGUGUGGGAUGGGCCCGCGGCCUAUCAGCUUGUUGGUGGGGUAAUGGCCUACCAAGGGGACGACGGGUAGGCGGCCUGAGAGGGGGACCGGGCACACUGGGGCUUAGAGACGGCCCAGACUCCUACGGGAGGCAGCAGUGGGGAAUAUUGCACAAUGGGCGCAAGCCUGAUGCAGCGACGCCGCGUGAGGGAUGACGGCCUUCGGGUUGUAAACCUCUUUCAGCUAUGACGAAGCGCAAGUGACGGUAGUAGCAGAAGAAGGACCGGCCAACUACGUGCCAGCCGCCGCCGUAA
rnacentral:rRNA from 1 species